rnacentral:rRNA from 1 species
UGGGGAAUAUUGGACAAUGGGCGCAAGCCUGAUCCAGCCAUGCCGCGUGAGUGAUGAAGGCCCUAGGGUUGUAAAGCUCUUUUACCUGGGAAGAUAAUGACUGUACCAGGAGAAUAAGCCCCGGCUAACUUCGUGCCAGCAGCCGCGGUAAUACGAAGGGGGCUAGCGUUGUUCGGAUUUACUGGGCGUAAAGCGCACGUAGGCGGAUCUUUAAGUCAGGGGUGAAAUCCCGAGGCUCAACCUCGGAACUGCCUUUGAUACUGGGGAUCUCGAGUCCGGGAGAGGUGAGUGGAACUGCGAGUGUAGAGGUGAAAUUCGUAGAUAUUCGCAAGAACACCAGUGGCGAAGGCGGCUCACUGGCCCGGUACUGACGCUGAGGUGCGAAAGCGUGGGGAGCAAACAGG